UAGAGAGGUUCAUUUAAAAAUUGCAGCUUCCACGGGAAACCGUGGUUGAAAAAUCGGGUGAAUUCAGGGAAGCCUAACAUCCUAUAAUAUCAUAGGAUAUGGUAAUCCUGAGCGAAUCUCGUUGAAGGGAUAAAAGUAAGCGAGAACGUGCAGAGACUAAGAGGUGAGGAUCCCAACCAAUAAGCCUCUAAAAAGCGCCCGACACCCUAACUUUGCUGUAUAUCAGAGUGGGUGAUGAGAUAGUCCAAGCCCUUUGGAAACACUGGG
rnacentral:ncRNA from 1 species